CAACCCUCGCAACCGGCUUUGCUGGAUGUGGUGUUGGGGAUCGGCUGCCUUCUAGGUGGCCGGCCCCGAAAUAGAGUGGCGGUCUCGUCGUGGCCUCCUCUGCGUAGUAGCAAUAUCUCGCAGGCGGAGAGCGGCGUGGCUAUGCCGUAAAACACCCAACUCUUCUAA
rnacentral:misc_RNA from 1 species